rnacentral:rRNA from 1 species
UGGGGAAUAUUGCACAAUGGAGGGAACUCUGAUGCAGCGACGCCGCGUGAACGAAGAAGGCUUUCGAGUCGUAAAGUUCUUUUAUAUGGGAAGAUAAUGACGGUACCAUAAGAAAAAGCCCCGGCUAACUACGUGCCAGCAGCCUCGGUAAUACGUAGGGGGCUAGCGUUGUCCGGAAUCACUGGGCGUAAAGGGUUCGCAGGCGGAAAUGCAAGUCAGGUGUAAAAGGCAGUAGCUUAACUACUGUAAGCAUUUGAAACUGCAUAUCUUGAGAAGAGUAGAGGUAAGUGGAAUUUUUAGUGUAGCGGUGAAAUGCGUAGAUAUUAAAAAGAAUACCGGUGGCGAAGGCGACUUACUGGGCUCAUUCUGACGCUGAGGAACGAAAGCGUGGGUAGCAAACAGG